UGAGGAAUAUUGGACAAUGGAUGGAAAUCUGAUCCAGCCAUGCCGCGUGCAGGAAGAAGGUCCUAUGGAUUGUAAACUGCUUUAGUGCGGGAGCAAUAAGGUCCACGAGUGGACCGAUGAGAGUACCGCAAGAAUAAGCAUCGGCUAACUCCGUGCCAGCAGCCGCGGUAAUACGGGGGAUGCAAGCGUUAUCCGGAUUUAUUGGGUUUAAAGGGUGCGUAGGCGGUCUGUCAAGUCGGCGGUGAAAACAGCAUGCUAAACAUGGUGCUUGCCGUCGAGACUGGUGGGCUUGAAUGUGGAUGAUGCCGGCGGAAUGUGUAAAGUAGCGGUGAAAUGCAUAGAUAUUACACAGAAGGUCGAUUGCGAAAGCAGCUGGCAAAGGCACUAUUGACGCUGAGGCACGAAAGUGCGGGGAUCGAACAGG
rnacentral:rRNA from 1 species